ACACGGUGUAAGUCGCAUCCCAUUAGGCACGCACAUUACGAGCAUUUCGAAAUGUA
ensembl:ncRNA C27D11.2 ncRNA